UACGGAGGAUGCGAGCGUUAUCCGGAUUUAUUGGGUUUAAAGGGUGCGCAGGCGGAUUUUUAAGUCAGCGGUCAAAUCGUGGGGCUCAACCCCAUCCAGCCGUUGAAACUGGGGAUCUAGAGUGUGCGAGAGGUAUGCGGAAUGCGUGGUGUAGCGGUGAAAUGCAUAGAUAUCACGCAGAACUCCGAUCGCGAAGGCAGCCUACCGGCGCGCGACUGACGCUCAUGCACGAAAGCGUGGGUAUCGAACAGG
rnacentral:rRNA from 1 species